ACGGGUGAGUAAUGCCUAGGAAUCUGCCUGAUAGUGGGGGAUAACGUUCGGAAACGGACGCUAAUACCGCAUACGUCCUACGGGAGAAAGCAGGGGACCUUCGGGCCUUGCGCUAUCAGAUGAGCCUAGGUCGGAUUAGCUAGUUGGUGAGGUAAUGGCUCACCAAGGCGACGAUCCGUAACUGGUCUGAGAGGAUGAUCAGUCACACUGGAACUGAGACACGGUCCAGACUCCUACGGGAGGCAGCAGUGGGGAAUAUUGGACAAUGGGCGAAAGCCUGAUCCAGCCAUGCCGCGUGUGUGAAGAAGGUCUUCGGAUUGUAAAGCACUUUAAGUUGGGAGGAAGGGCAUUAACCUAAUACGUUAGUGUUUUGACGUUACCGACAGAAUAAGCACCGGCUAACUCUGUGCCAGCAGCCGCGGUAAUACAGAGGGUGCAAGCGUUAAUCGGAAUUACUGGGCGUAAAGCGCGCGUAGGUGGUUUGUUAAGUUGGAUGUGAAAUCCCCGGGCUCAACCUGGGAACUGCAUUCAAAACUGACUGACUAGAGUAUGGUAGAGGGUGGUGGAAUUUCCUGUGUAGCGGU
rnacentral:rRNA from 1 species